UUACGGCCACGUCACGCUGGAGCACCGGUUCCCACAGGAUCACCGAAAUUAAGCAACGUCGAGCCUGGUCAGUACCUAGAUAGUCGACAGCUUGGGAAUAACAGGAGCUGUAAG